AAAUGCUUCAGCUGUUACCAAUCCGAAGAUAUGCAGAUUAUAUUUUGAAAGAAAAAAAAAGACCCAGUCAAUUCAUCCCCUAAAGGGCGAACUUCAAGAACCACGUGGAUUCUGCAUCAAGAACCGACUGGAGGAAAAAAUAAAAACGAUCCGAAACACAGCAGUAAGUUACAAGACGAAGAAAAGCAUGGAAGUAUCAGGUUGUUGUUGUUGUUUUCUACUGUGCAAUUUGGAAGUCAAUGCUGGCACUUAGAUGGUGUAAUUAUGGAAGUAAAGUCAGUUAAAAAACAAAUCAUAAAGUACACACGAUUUCACAUAUUUCAGGGAUGAUAAACAACAAUCAAUAUUCAUCAAAAGUGAUAGUUUCUCGAAAAGUGGUUUGCUUUUGAAAGAAAGUGUUAGAUGUGUUAGACUGGAUUUAACUUCGACACUGUUUGGAAUAUGCGUAGAUAUAGUGAAGGAGUAUAAUUAAAGGUGAUAUUAAAUCUGGCACGCACAUAGAUAUGAUAAGGAUAUAUAGUUAUUGGUGAUGUUCAGAUUGGAUGUAAUUUUCAAGACAAUUUGAAAUUUUCAUAAAGAGAUGGAAUAUUAUUACUUGUGUGUUCGUUUCAUUCUAAUUAAUAUUUACUCAAACAGGACUAUCUGGAAUAUGAUUAUAUAAAGGGAAGAAAUAUAAUUAGUGAUUGUGUCACAAUGGAAGUACAGCCAAUGACAAGUCGUUUCAAACAUUGCGGAAGAAAGAUGCAAACAGUGCAAACAGUUGAAAACAACAAUCAAUAUGCACGACAUCUUUCUCAAGUGGUUAUUAGAAAAUAUAAGUACAUUCUGUUUCACCUGGCAAUUAUCUGCUAUUGAUCAGAACUGAAAAUAUCGCAAAGUGGUUGUGGUUUGGGAAUGAAUAUUAUACGCUUAGACUAUAUACUCAAACAGGAUCUUUUUUUUAAAAAACAAUUAGGAAUAUACACCAAAAUAAUGAGUAUAAUCAUUUGUGAGGAGGUUUUAUUAUAAUAAUUAAUACGCAUUCAAAUUUGAUUUAUAAUUUUUCAACGGAGUUUGAAAUAUACACGGAUCUAGUGAAGGAGUACAGUUAUUUGAUUUGAAAUAAUUGAUACUAGAAUGGAGCCUCUGAAAGCCUUUGAAGUUAUUGAUGCGUUUGUAUAAUUCAAAGGUGGAGAAAUAACAAUCAAUAUGCACGACAUCUUUCUCAAAUGGCUAUUAGAAAAGUUUACAUCAAUCUGUUUCACCUGGCAAUCAUUUGUCAUUGAUCAGAAUGGAAAAUAUCGCGAUGUUAUGGUAUGAAAUAUUACGUGCCUAUACUAUGUACUCAAACAGGAUGGAUUAAAUUUUCAAUGCAAUUAGGAUUACACAUAUAGAGAAUGUGCAUAAUUAUUUGUGAGAAGGUUUAUUAAUAAUAAUAAUAUGUAUUCAAAUUGGAUUAAAAUUUUUCAACGGAGUUUGAAUUAGAUCUAGUGACAUAUUAAUUAUUUGUGGGUUUGAUUAUAAUUAUUUUUGUGAAUUCAAACUAGAUCUUACUGGAAUAUACGUAGACAAAGUGAAGGAAUAUAGCUAUUUGUGAUAGUCAGCUCGGAUUAAUUCUGAACAAAAUUUGCAAUAUGCAAGAAUAAUUUUCAAUACAAUUUGGAAUAUACACAGACAUAAUGAAGAGAUGUAAUUAUUGGUGAUAUUCUGACCGGAUUUAAUUUUUAAUACAAUUCGGAAUAUUCAUACAUAUAGUGAAUGUAUAUUGUAAUUGAUGAUGUCAAUGUUUAAUACAGGUUGAAUUGUUAAUAGCUAUAGUAAAGGAAUAUCAUUAUCGGUGAGUAAGUUCUAUUCUAUUUAUUGAUAUAAUGUUAUAUUUAAAUCUGAUAUAAUUCUCAGAACUUUAGGAAUAAACAUUUAAAAUAAUUAAUGACCGUUAGGUUUAAUCAUUAUAUAAAGUAUACCACAAAUACACCAUUAUCUAUGUAGGUAAUAGACUUAAAGAGGGAAAAGCUUCGCUGAAAAUAAAUACAUUUGGAAGACUAAGAGGAUCAUCUUGGACUGACCGUAGUAGGAAAAAUUUAGGAUAUUUAAAUCGGAACGCAAAAAUAAUGAUAAUUUGAUUUUUGAAUUGACUAAUAACAUUUAUUAAACAGAAAGGAAAGGAAUAAAAAAUGUAACGGAAAAAUACUAAUAAAAAUUGUGUUAAACGACCAUAUUAUCUGCUAAUAUUUUAAGGCCUUUUAUUCUUAAGUAAAAAACGUACGAAUAAUUUUAUCAUUUAACUUGUUUCACUUUUAUGUGUAUGUACAUAUAGAACAUUGCUGCGGUUUAUUUUUGUUUCGCAAAUAAUAGAUAAAUAAUGUUCCAUAAUCAGAAAUAGUUUUUUUCAUAUAUCAAGAUUUGUUAUUUUGUCGUAAUUAAAUGUUUUUGUUUUCAUCUGACUGUAUAUCAUGGGUGCCGAUUUUUCUUUAGGGUUUAGUCUAUAAGUCUCCAAGUGACAUUUGAAACGAGAAGCAUCGCUUUUAUUGAGGACUGUUAAAAAUCUUUGUAUGAGUACAGAAUACGUCUCUUCUCAAACAAACAGAUUUAGCACAUUCAGAAAUAAUAAACAACCAUGAAGAAAUGAUCAAUUAUAUGUUGCUUUUUUUCUUAAAUUUUUAUUCAAAAGCAUAGCCAAUACAUUAUUAUAUGUUAUUAUGUAUGAAAAGACCUACAAUAAUUUAGGUGGUUGAUACAUAUCACGUACCGUUAACAAAAUGCAAUUGCCAGAAGAAUUAAACCAAUCUAAAUUUAUAUUUCAGAAUAUGCUAAUGAUAAUAGAAAAGACAUAAACUGCAAAUACAUGCAGUCAUCGUUCUUUAAAAAUACGAUUAAACUACUUCGAUCAACACUUCAGAAAUCCGUUCCGGAAUAUUU